rnacentral:rRNA from 1 species
UAGUCCACGCCGUAAACGAUGAAUGCCAGUCGUCAGGGGGCUUGCCCUUUGGUGACACACCUAACGGAUUAAGCAUUCCGCCUGGGGAGUACGGUCGCAAGGCUAAAACUCAAAGAAAUUGACGGGACCCGCACAAGCGGUGGAGUAUGUGGCUUAAUUCGAUGCAACGCGAAGAACCUUACCUAGGCUUGACAUGUAUUGCUAAUCUACAGAGAUGUAGUGACCCUUCGGGGACCUUACACAGGUGCUGCAUGGCCGUCGUCAGCUCGUGUCGUGAGAUGUUCGGUUAAGUCCGGCAACGAGCGCAACCCACAUCUUUAGUUGCCAGCAGUUUGGCUGGGCACUCUAAAGAAACUGCCCGUGAUAAGCGGGAGGAAGGUGUGGAUGACGUCAAGUCCUCAUGGCCCUUACGGGGUUGGGGCUACACACGUGCUACAAUGGGCAAGUACAGUGGGGUUAAUCCCAAAACUUGUCUCAGUUCGGGAUUGGGGGUCUGGCAACUCGACCCCAUGAAGUCGGGAA